rnacentral:ncRNA from 1 species
CACAUGUUCCUUCCUUAAGAGGGAGGCUAAGAGGGAAGCAGGUAAGAAUCCUGCACGGUCCCGCCGCUGUAUAUGAUGAGUUUUGACUGUAGCGAAAGCUGUCCAUGGGGAAACCGAGAAGGAAAGUCAUAAACGAUGAAUCUAAGUCAGAAGACCUGCAUGUGAC